GACGAACGCUGGCGGCGUGCCUAAUACAUGCAAGUAGGACGCAGUUGCGAACGGGUGAGUAACGCGUAGGUAACUACCUAUUAGAGGGGGAUAACUAUUGGAAACGAUAGCUAAUACCGCAUACUAGUAGAUGGACCUGCGUUGUAGUAACUAGUAGGUUGGGUAAUGGCCUAUCUUGGCAACGAUACAUAGCCGACCUGAGAUGGUGAGCGGCCACACUGGGACUGGGUCACGUCCCAGACUCCUACGGGAGGCAGCAGUAGGGAAUCUUCGGCAAUGGGGGGAACCCUGACCGAGCAACGCCGCGUGAGUGAAGAAGGUUUUCGGAUCGUAAAGCUCUGUUGUUAAGGAAGCGGUACUUAACCAGAAAGGGACGGCUAACUACGUGCCAGCCGCCGCGGUAAUUC
rnacentral:rRNA from 1 species